UCGGAUGUUUAUCAGUUCAUUAUGCCCGCCCUCCAGAAGGCCAAAACACUCACUCUCUCAUUGGUAAAUGCAAUGAUGACUGAAAGCUAAAGAAGAUUUCAACUGCUGCCGUCGUAUGUGCAUUUCUUCCGAUUCAGUUGUGAUUUUCGUUUGGAGUUUAAGAUUGGUGGAAGAAUCUGCCCAAACAAGUAUUAGUAGCUCUAUUUUCCGGAAUAAUUUCUUGUUUUGCUACAGAGGAUUGCCGUUAUAUCUGGAUGGCAUCCGUACAGCAAUUUCUAUCCACCGCCGCUGCCUCUACUAGCUGCCGCCUCUUUGUCAUGUUGCAGAACAGGACAGUUAAGAAUCACCCAGCGACUUGUUUACCGUGUUCACCAUUUUCAAGUGCUGAAAAACUUAAAUAUUUUCCUCAAAAAGCUAGGAUAUGUCUCAUAACCCCAAAUAUCCAACCGAAAGUUCUUAGAGUCAAAUCAGAAAAAAAAUUUCAACUUUUGGGAAGUGGUGCCAAUGUGCCUUGUCCUUUUUCUGCCUUCAGAAUCAAGCCCCAAUUUGGAUAUGGGUCGUACAAUACUGCAAUGCCCUUAUCUGUUUCAAACUGUGGGAUAAAAAGUGGUCCGAGUUCCACUUAUUUUGUUAGUGGUAGAAGAUCCUUUUCUGAGGUUUCGAGGACGGAAUUGAACCAGAAUAACGAUGGUGGGGCAAAAAAGAGUGGCAGUGGGAAGAAUUUUUACUUCAAAAUACUUGCUAAGAAUCGGAAGCGGCCAAACCAAAUAAGGGCAAUAGACAAUGAGGAAUUAGCAAGGAGCAGUUUUGAAGGUAAGGCAGCAGCUGUUGAAGAUAGUGUAUCCAUUGCCAGUGAACAACUUCUUUCCAGAAGUACGAGUUUAUCAAACAAAAAUAACAUGCAAACACAUGGUAAGGGUAAAUCGAAGCACCGAUCAAGAAGCAAUAAAAACCAAAAUCAAUCUUCCAAGGUCGGUGUGCCUACUGAUGCAGCAGAUCAGCCACUUGACUUUGAAAAAGUUUCUCAGCCCAAGAAGACUAGAACGCGCAUUAAUAUGCAAUCUUCUGUAUCUUCAGAGAUUGAUUCAACUGCAAGUGCUGCUUCAGAAGUAAAGGGUGGUGGCAUUUCAACGAAAGAUGUUCUAAAGAAGAUGGGGAAGAACUCCCAGAGAAAAGUGAAAUCUGUUAAAGAAGUCGUUAGUGUUAUCAAAUCAGAUGAGGAAGUGACAGGGUCAUCUGGUGACAACGAGGUCUCACAGAGACCGCAGUCACACGUGAUCAACAAAACUAAGUCUCGCGGACGGAAGGCUUGGCCACAAUUAUACCCGCCAACCAGUAAAUCGGUCAUGAUCGUGGAGUCUGCUACAAAGGCAAAAGUGAUUCAAGGGUACCUUGGAAACAUGUUUGAGGUACUACCUAGUUAUGGCCAUGUCAGGGAUUUGGCUGCGAGAUCUGGAUCCGUGCGACCUGAUGAUGACUUCAGCAUGGUGUGGGAAGUUCCAUCCGCUGCCUGGACUCAUCUUAAGGGUAUCAAGGUUGCACUGAGUGGAGCUGAAAAUCUCAUUCUGGCCUCAGACCCUGACCGUGAAGGAGAGGCCAUUGCUUGGCACAUUAUAGAGAUGUUGCAGCAGCAGGAUGUUUUGCGUGAUGAUAUCAAUGUGGCAAGAGUUGUCUUUAAUGAGAUUACAGAAUCAUCUAUUAGAAGUGCCCUCCAGACUCCAAGAGAGAUCGAUGCAAACUUGGUGCAUGCUUAUCUUGCGCGACGUGCUCUUGAUUACCUGAUUGGAUUCAAUAUUUCACCAUUGUUAUGGAGGAAAUUACCUGGUUGUCAGUCUGCUGGAAGAGUCCAAUCUGCUGCUUUAGCUCUUAUUUGUGACAGGGAAAAGGAAAUCGAUGAAUUUAAAGCACAGGAGUAUUGGACAAUUGUAGUUGAGUUCCACAAAAAAGAUCUAAAUUCAGCCAACAGCAUUUCUCUUACAUCACAUUUGACCCAUUAUGAUUCCAGAAAGCUAAAUCAGCUUUCAAUUAGAUCUUUUUUGGAGGCAAAGGAUAUUGAAAAAAAAAUUAAAAUGUCCAUGUUUGAAGUUAUCAACUCUAAAACUAGCAAAAGUCAGAGAAAUCCUCCCCCUCCGUACAUAACAUCAACGCUUCAGCAAGAUGCUGCAAACAAAUUCAAUUUUCCUGCAUCGUAUACGAUGAAAGUUGCACAGAAGCUGUACGAGGGAGUCCAAUUAUCAAAUGACAAAGCAACGGGAUUAAUAACUUACAUGAGAACAGAUGGGCUACACAUAUCGGAUGAAGUGGCAAAGGAUGUCCAGUCCUUGAUUGUGGAAAAAUAUGGGAAGAAUUUUGCAUCAAAGAGUACACGCAAGUAUUUUAAAAAGGUAAAAAAUGCUCAGGAGGCGCAUGAAGCCAUUAGACCCACUGAUAUCAGAAGACUACCCUCAAGGCUUGUUGGAGUACUUGAUGAAGAUUCCCUCAAGUUAUAUACUCUUAUAUGGUCUCGAACGAUGGCAUGCCAAAUGGAACCUGCGAUCAUUGAGCAAAUACAACUUGAUAUUGGGAAUGCUGAUCAGUCCAUUGUGUUUCGAUCUACAUGCUCAAGGGUCAGUUUUCUCGGCCACCGGGCUGUCAAUGAGGAUGCGGAAACCAGCAGAAUAAGAUGUGAUGAGAAUGAAGAGAAAUUUCCAAGUGGGAUGUAUGAAAAUUUGACUAGGUUGAAGUCUCGCCAGCCAUUGUGUUUGGGUAAAGUAGACCUAGAUCAACACUACACACAGCCUCCACCACGCUACUCUGAGGGGUCAUUGGUCCGAAAGCUGGAGGAGCUUGGCAUUGGAAGACCUUCUACUUAUGCGAUCACAAUUAAAGUGCUUAAAGAUAGAAAUUAUGUGACACCUAAAAGCAGGAUAUUACAUCCAGAAUUUCGUGGUCGAAUGGUGUCAGCAUUUCUCUCGCACUAUUUUUCAGAGGUAACAGAUUAUAGUUUCACCGCCGAUAUGGAGUCUGAACUUGAUAAUGUUUCUGCUGGAAUGACUGAAUGGAAAGGCCUUCUGAAAGAUUACUGGACUAGAUUUAGCAAGUAUUGUGAGCAGACAAGCAACGUUCAUAUUCAUCAGGUGGAGAAGAUGUUGGAGAAAACAUUUGGCGAUUUCUUAUUUGCAUCUCUUCCUAGUGGAAGUAGAACAUGCCCUAGUUGUUUGGAAGGAACUUUAAUUUUCAAAGUCAGCAGGUUUGGUUCUGGAUAUUUCAUUGGUUGUGAUCAACAUCCCAAGUGCAAGUACAUUGCUAAGACACUCUAUGGUGAGGAUGAUGAAGAAGUCGAUCAGGAAAAAAAUAAAAACAAUGUAGAGGAGCCAAAGUUACUAGGUCUUAAUCCUGGUUCCAAUGAGAAGGUUCUUUUGAAGAAGGGUCCAUAUGGAUUUUAUGUUCAGCUCGGUGAAGACAGAAAGGGAUAUUUACCUAAGAGAGCCUCAGUUUCCCAAAUAAAGAACGUGGAUUCGAUUACCUUGGAAGAUGCCCUUGAGUUAUUGCGGUAUCCUGUGACCUUGGGGAACCAUCCGGAUGAUGACCAGCCAGUAGUACUAAAGCUUGCAAAGGUUGGAUUUUCUAUUAGACACAGGCGCACUAUUGCUUCUGUGCCCAAGAACAUGGCACCUAAGGAGGUAACUUUGGAGAAUGCUUUGGAGCUUUUAAAGAGUAAAGAUGUUAGGAGGUGUGGACGACCAAAGCGCGAAGUAAAAAUUGAAGAAGCUGUUGAGGCAAUAUAAGGAUUGCCCAUAACUAGGGUCCAGGUCAUAUUGGUUCUGAUUUACUCAAAUAGUUAAGAGAUUGACUGUCUCCUCUUGGAACCGGACUACAAAAAUAGCAUUGCAGAAGAAGUUGUUGACUUCCACACAGGCAUCUACUGGUUCUUUCAUGAUGAAGAUAUUGUGUAUAUUGAUAGUAAAAUCAAGCAUUUAUAUAGGGGAUGAUUGUCUGGACGAAAGAACUGUUCUGUUACUAAUUCUUAUUUUUGUUGUCAAUGUAAUGUGGACGUUUACUGCAGAGAUGCCAUGAAACUUUUUUUCGUGGUGAUCUUCUUUGUCAAGGCAGGUAAAGGAUUCAAAAACUCGUCUUUGUUAAAACCUUUGACGUGUCACCAUCUAUUGCAUAUUUUUGCACGUGAAAAGUUCCUAUCUAUAUCUCUUGUUCUAAUGGUAUGUUAUGCUCAUGACACACCCCACAGUAUAAUCGCGAUUCUGAUCCCAGUUAUGGUCCUAUUUUGCUUUGUGAUAGUCAAUAAAAUGCAAGCUCUCUGCAACUAUAUCCCGUCUGAGUCCUCUUUUUUCCACUACAUGAUUUUUUUUGCAAAUCGUCGGAGGACCUUGCUAAUGUUCUCUUGCAGAUACCAACUAAGAUGAUAGCAUGUUAUUCUUUGAAAAACCAUAUUCUUUCUUCUUUCGAGAUAUCUGGUAGAAUUUUAUUGCAGACAUUAGAUCUCCAAUAUUUUCACUUUAACAUCAAUCUUUGAAUAAUUUCUAAAAAGAAUAACUGAGUUACACCACACUGAGCUUGCAUAUUCGAGAGGAUUAUAUAUGGUACUCAAAAUGCACCUCCUUGUAGUGGCAAGCAGAUGGUGCGUGGUAAUUUUAGAUAAAUGGAUGAUACAGAUUGCAGAACUUCGAGUCUAAUGCUCUAGAUAGUCUAUGGCGUGAGCUCACUGAUGGCUCACAGUGACUGUGUGAUGUUUACAAGUGUAAGAGUGGCAUCAAUGGACUGUAAUGAUUGGCUAAUGGAAUUCGUGGGAUGAUAGUUCAAAUGGGUAGUAGUGAUUGGGCUGAUGGGAUUGUGGAAUGAAAAUAAAUUGCAAAAAAAUCUUGUUAGACUGGUUGAAAUUGGAUUAUGCUGGUUUUCUCUUGACGCAGUUUCCAUUACGAGCAGUCAGAUUUUGUUUUAUUCUCUUGUGGUACAGUCUCACUGAAAGAACCUGAAUUCCAAAUCAUCAAAUGAGAACUUGAAGAAUCGUUUCACAGAGCACAUGAAGGACGAACACUUAGCGUCAGGGUGAAAAUGUAUCUGAAAAAUGGAAGAAUGUUUCAAUAGGUUUUGGUUUCCUAGAGUUCGAUUCUGUCAAUACAGCUGUGAAUGUUUGCAUGGAUCUGCACAACGGGUGUGAGGUGUGGAAGUCCAAGUAUGAUGAGGAAACUGGAAGCCCUUUUCAUCAAUUUUGAUCUGGUGAAAAGAAUUGACCACUGAUUGGUUUUCUGCAUUAAUCGAGAUAUGCUCAAAUAGAAAGAGGGACUAGGGACUAAGGCUGAUAGUUUAAAAUCUCUUGGGCAUAUCAUUUCUGUGUUCCUGCGUGGAUCAUGUUUGCCAAACUAAACUUUGAGCAUUUUCAACUCAAGGCAGCGAUUGUCGUUCCUUAUUCUGCUCAUUUUUGCCCAUGCUACCAUUCAUUUGAAGUAGAGUUCACAUUCAAAUCAAGAAUGUCUAAAAUCUUUUGGUUAGCCCUACUCCACAUGCAACAACAUAUUAUUUUUUUCGUUCAUUCGAUAACAAGUCAAGAUCAUCUGUGGGUGAACAAUAGAAAUAUUUUAGUUUUUCAUUUCUCAAGGUCUUGUUGUUGGCUUAGCAGUGUCAGACGUGCAUAUUUUAUGAAAUGUUAUGCUUUGCUUGC